UGGCAGUAAAAACAUGUUUAUUAGGAGGAAGAAGUAUAUAUAUUAUAAGGUAGAAUACAAAAUUUCUUAGAGAUUUACAUGUAAAUAGAUAAAGCAAUAUUAUUAUGUGUUUUCAGAACAGACCUAAAAUCCGUAAAGUCUAAUUAAUAGUUUAUACCGGUUCUAACAGUCUUUCAUAUUUUUUAUACACCUUUGCCAUAUUUCAAAAUGUGUCUAAUUUUCUUCUACUUUUUUUUUUAGAUUAUCUAUAUAGUAAACAUAGUAUAUUAUCUACAUAUCAGAAUCUUGAACAUAACUGACUAUAAAUAACAAAAUAUGCACUGAUGAUAGUGUGCUGAAACAAGGGUUGCAGAAAGUAGCAUUAUUUGAGGGAGGGAUGUAGUACAAUUUUAUACAUGUCAACAUUAGCUCAUGUUUAACAAAACCUUUUCAAAGGUUAUACUCAAUAUCAGAAUGUUUUUGAUAAACAUAUGGGAAUGUUUUAUAAACUAUGCAUGAAAAAUGAUAAUAGGUUCAUUUCAUAAAUUUAAAAUCACAAUAACUGUCUCACAUUCAAUUUUCUUAAAAUAAUUUUA
rnacentral:lncRNA from 1 species